CAAUUUAGUUCUAUUAUUUCUAGUGUUUCCCAUGAGUAAGUAAACAACUGCCGCUGGUUCGUUACUUCUGAAUGGCGAAACGUCAUCCCUUUUGUGGUUAUUGUCAUCACAUAUUCAACUAUUUGUAUCGACACAAACGCAAGGAGAAUAUUGCAAACCGCAUUAUCGCUAUACCUACAAAAGUUAAGGUAUAUCCUGAAGAUGCGCCUUCAUCCGUCUUUCCCUUUUUUUCGCCGUAGCGCUUCCAGCAGAUUGGGCUGUGCGGACUACAAGGUGAAUUUUCAUCACGAAACAUUUUCUUGUUAUACUUGCAGAUGUUCACUUGAUAUUCCGGCGACGCUGUUAUAGCCAUCCAUCUCCAACCGAGACUUGAUGCACAGAUUCGGUGCGCUCCCUCACGAAAAUGACUUUCUGUUUUGAUGCACUGACUGCAAUAUGUUUGUGUUAUUAUGUAUAUAGUGGUUUUCUGUGGGUUAUGGCAAAUGUAUGGGCAUAUCAUAUAAA